CCUACGGUGGGCUGCAGUGAGGAAUAUUGGUCAAUGGGCGAGAGCCUGAACCAGCCAAGUCGCGUGAGGGAGUACUGCCCUAUGGGUUGUACACCUCUUUUGUCGGGGAGCAAAAGCCGGACGUGUCCGGCUGUGAGAGUACCCGAAGAAAACGCAUCGGCUAACUCCGUGCCAGCAGCCGCGGUAAUACGGAGGAUGCGAGCGUUAUCCGGAUUUAUUGGGUUUAAAGGGUGCGCAGGCGGAUUUUUAAGUCAGCGGUCAAGUCGUGGGGCUCAACCCCAUCCAGCCGUUGAAACUGGGGAUCUAGAGUGUGCGAGAGGUAUGCGGAAUGCGUGGUGUAGCGGUGAAAUGCAUAGAUAUCACGCAGAACCCCGAUUGCGAAGGCAGCAUACCGGUGCACAACUGACGCUCAGGCACGAAAGCGUGGGUAUCGAACAGGAUUAGAUACCCGUGUAGUC
rnacentral:rRNA from 1 species